GUGAGGCAAAAUGGAGUUAGCUUUCGGCCCAUAACUGCGGUUUCAUGCAUUCAGGCGUACUGCAGUUACAACCUUGGCCAGCUAUACAUAACUGCGGUUAUCCUAUACAUUUGAACCUGGCCUAUCUUUCUCACCACCAUCACCACCACCUCAGUCUGAACUUUUGAGCUGUGUAUUCGUUGGAGAUCAGCACCCAGACUACAUGGAGGAGAGGAGUUUAGAAACUACACAAGCAAAUACAGACGAAGGCUGGUUUUUCAUUAUUGUGUAAUGAAGAUUAGUGGUUUGAUACAGCUGAUCAGAUGCAUUUCCAGAACAUUUGAUUAAUGAGCCUUUUCUCUAAGAAGAAAUAAUAUGCCUGUAGCUAAAAAAUGAUGGAGAUGUGGUGGGGGAGAGAGAUAUGGAGUGUGCUACUUUUGUAUUUUAUGGAAACUUUCACAAUAAUACCCUCUCACCAAAGGGUUA